ensembl:snRNA U6 U6 spliceosomal RNA
GUGCUUGCUUUGGCAGCACAUAUGCUGAAAUUGGAAUGACACAGAGAUUGGCAUGGUUCCUGUGCAAGCAUGACCUGAAAAUUAAUGAAGUGUUCCAUGUUAAA